AUUGAACGCUGGCGGCAGGCUUAACACAUGCAAGUCGAGCGAGCGGCGGACGGGUGAGUAAUGUCUGGGAAACUGCCUGAUGGAGGGGGAUAACUACUGGAAACGGUAGCUAAUACCGCAUACAAUCGAUUGUGCCAAGAUGGGAUUAGUUAGUAGGUGGGGUAAUGGCUCACCUAGGCGACGAUCCCUGGCUGGUCGGAGAGGAUGACCAGCCACACUGGAACUGAGAACCGGUCCAGACUCCUACGGGAGGCAGCAGUGGGGAAUAGUGCACAAUGGGCGCAAGCCUGAUGCAGCCAUGCCGCGUGUGUGAAGAAGGCCUUCGGGUUGUAAAGCACUUUCAGCGAGGAGGCGUUACUCGCAGAAGAAGCACCGGCUAACUCCGUGCCAGCAGCCGCGGUAAUAC
rnacentral:rRNA from 1 species